rnacentral:rRNA from 1 species
GACGAACGCUGGCGGCGUGCUUAACACAUGCAAGUCGAACGGAAAGGCCCUGCUUGCAGGGUGCUCGAGUGGCGAACGGGUGAGUAACACGUGGGUGAUCUGCCCCUUACUUUUGGAUAAGCCUGGGAAACUGGGUCUAAUACUGGAUAGGACCAUGCUGUAGGUGGUGUGGUGGAAAGAUUAGUUUCGGUGAGGGAUGAGCUCGCGGCCUAUCAGCUUGUUGGUGGGGUAAUGGCCUACCAAGGCGUCGACGGGUAGCCGGCCUGAGAGGGUGGACGGCGACAUUGGUAGGGAGAUAAGGCGCAGACUCCUACGGGAGGCAGCAGUGGGGGAUAAUGUAGAAUGGGGGGAAGACGGAUGAAGCAACGCCGCGGGGGGGAUGACGGCGUUCGGGUUGUAAACUACUUCCAGCCAUGACGAAGCCCUUGUGGUGACGGUAGUGGUAGAAGAAGCACCGGCUAACUACGUG